rnacentral:rRNA from 8 species
UUUGACCUCAAAUCAGGUAGGAUUACCCGCUGAACUUAAGCAUAUCAAU